rnacentral:lncRNA from 1 species
UCCUGAUCGCAGGUGGAAAGGCGCAUAUGAUCCUCCUCCAGUACAGGAAGAAGUUGCUGGAAAUGCUGGUAAACCGGUGGAAGAAAAAGUAUCUCCUAGAAGGCGCAAUGUACUCCCCAAUCUCGGUUUGCACUGAGUCAACAUGAUAUGAAUUGGGCCACAAGGUAUUGUAAUAUUUUUUUUCCAUUUGAUAUUUGAAAUACACAGCUGAAAAUAAUAAUCAGUAUUCUGUAAUUUAAAAUUUAUGUUUAUAUGCACCCUUUUCAAUUGCAGGUAAAUCGAAGGGCCUUAAUUAAUGAAAAAACCAAGGAUCUGCAUCGCAAGAAGGGGUCCUUUCUUCGUCUUCUAUUGCGUUUUUUUUUUUCUCUUUUUUUUUACCCCUUUCAAUUAUGUAAGCAGAAAACUAUCGAACAUCUUCGGUAAUAAGUUUAGCUAAUGUGGCCUUGUUGCCUAUUUUGCAUUGAACUUAACUUUUAUACAACGAUAGUCGAAGAAACUUUUACACUAUCAGGUUAACUUUAUUUAUAAU